AUUGAACGCUGGCGGCAGGCCUAACACAUGCAAGUCGAGCGAGCGGCCGACGGGGGAGUAAUGUAUGGGGACUGCCCGAUAGAGGGGGAUUACUACUGGAAACGGUGGCUAAUACCGCAUACUAUCGGAUAACCCAUAUGGGAUUAGCUAGUAGGUGGGGUAAAGGCUCACAUAGGCGACGAUCUCUAGCUGGUCUGAGAGGAAGAUCAGCCAAACUGGGACGGAGACACGGCCCCGAAACCUACGGAGGGAGCAGGGGGGAAUAGUGCACAAUUUGACCAAGCCUGAUGCAGCCAUGCCGCGUGUAUGAAGAAGGCCUUAGGGUUGUAAAGUACUUUCAGCGGGGAGGCGUUACCCGCAGAAGAAGCACCGGCUAACUCCGUGCCAGCAGCCGCAGUAAUUC
rnacentral:rRNA from 1 species